CUUGACUUUUUUUUUUUUUUUUUUUAAAGUACUAGAUUUUUAAAGGAAAAAGGUAUGAAGCGCAGAGCCCCAUGGCAUCUUGACCUGUGAGAAUGACAAGGUAUUCCAGCAAGAAAUCUGCUCUUGGCUUGGAUAAUGCUUCCCAAGAAGCCUGCAGAAAGGUUGGUCCGGUCCUCAGGCUGGGCAACCUCUAGGUGAAAGGUGGAAAGGAGCCUAGUAACACUGUUCAUGAGAAGAUUUCCUAACUCAGCCGUUUCAUUGCUUGAAUUAGGUGAAACAAGCCAAACACCUAUGUGGCGAAAACUUAAGUUUUCAGGAAGGAAUUUCACCUAAACUCUAAUUUCUGGGUUAUAUAACAAUCACAAUUGAUGAGCUUAAAUAGUUAACAGAGCAGUUACCGACAUUCUUCAUGUCUCUACAGCUGUGUGAGCGGUCUUCUCAGAGGUGAAAUGAAUACUGGUGUAAAACUAUUUCACAAAGUAAUUUUAUGUGUUUACAGGCAUGCUACUGUCACAGUGAGCAGAAAAGAAUGAAAGAAAUAUCAAAGAAAAAAGUGAACAGGGUAAUUUGGUACAGUCAGGUGGUACAAGAGAUGUAGGAAAGAGCUGAGCUUGACCCUGUUGAAUAAGAGGCAGUGAUAUGCAGUUACCGAAAGAAGCAGUGACUCCAGAAUGCUCUGCGCUGAGAUUUCAAAUGGAAAAAGGUGCUCAAAUAUUGCAGAGGAACGUCUGUACCAGGAAAAGAAGGCAAAAGUGUUGCAUGGGCCAAAAGCCCUACAGCAUCUUGCCACUGGGGAGCUCUACAGCAGGUAGGACUUGGCAGUACAGCAAUGUGUAUAUAGUGCUGGUGUCAGGAACCUCUGGGAUGCUCUUAUCAUGCUGGCUGCAGCCAGAGCUUAGGAAAACCUGCUGGAGCCCCGAAGCAGAGGAAUGCUCUGCAUCACACCCUGGUCACCUUUGUGUGUGGGGCUAGAGGGCGGGAGAGAGGGCGGACGGACAAAGUGUACCACCCAUGCAGUCAGCCUUGGACCACCCAGCAGGAGAAUGCUUGGCAGCGACUCCAGGCAAUAUUCAAGUGCCUUUAUAUGAUGCAACAACUUCAGCUGGGGGCUGAGAAUCAGCUCUCAUGUUUUAUUCAUCCAAAUUGCCUUUCCCCACUCCAGAAAUCUACACUCAUCUCUUCACUAGAGAAUGUGUUCAAUUUCCUCUUGUUUAGCACUGCGCUGCAGUGCUCGGGUUUCCGCCGAGCGCCUUCACUUAGAGACUGAGUGGCGCUAGUCACAAGUCCAACUUCUCAGGAGCGAAGUGUGGGAAAGAGAGGGAGAAGUGGGUUCGUCUAAUUCGAUGUGUUUGUUUUGUUAAACUGAAUAUUUGAUUUUCAGUAGCCAGCUCCUGUGGAAGGAAAGAAAAAAAAUAAGAAAUGCAGCUUCUUUUCCUUUUUGCUUUUUUUGGUAAGAUUUUAGGUUUGACUCAUCUUUCCCAGGCUAAUUGUCAAGAAACUGACAAAUCAGUCAUGGUUGACAAGUGAGUAAUUGGGAGAAGAGAGGGAGUGCAGCAGGUGUCGGUACUAAUUUGGUAAAACAACAACAACAACAAGAAAAAAAGUGUAGAGAGUGGUAUGAUAGUCACUUACACAGUCAUGACGUUACAAGCUCUCCAUACAGAAUGUGUGCAGGAUUUUACAGCGCUCAGAGCAUUAACUAUUAACUGGCCGCUCUGGGUCCAUUUCAAAGGUCACCUACAAGUUCACCGGAAGAGAACGUUUUUGAGCCUCUUAGCAGGGAAGACCAGUUCACAAUGCUGCUGGGGAACUGGACAAAAAAUAGUUUCCUGAUUCUCACCUGUCACAUUGCUGGGCACACAGAACAGUCCUUGCAGGGGUACACCCCAUGCCCUGGCCCUGACUUUCCUGUGCUAGGCUGGACUGUCAGGGACAGGUACCUCUGCCAGAGCUGGAGCAUUCAGUCGCUGUCACCCUGCCAAGAUCUCUGUUGCCCACAGCUGCCCAAACUGUGACUCUGCCCAGUCCCUGCUCAUUGCUAAGAGGCUGAUUUUACAGUAAAGCCCAAAUCUCACUUGCUGAGUAGCAGAAAUAAGCUUUGCACCUGGAAAAUUCCUCAGGCACUGAAGAGAACAGUCUAAGAUGCUGCUGUAUUUUAGAAAUCAAAGCCUUGGAAAUAAAUUCUUUACUUACUAGCCCAAUCUGCCCCUCUGACCUCUAUAUUUCCUUACUUCAAUCUCAGUUGUUCACUGACGCUGCCUCAACAGCAACCAGUGUUCCCAUUUUGAUCUCUGUAACGGUGCUAGUGACUGCAGGCCAAAUAAUAGGUUCUACUGGCAAACUCCUAAGGUGCACUUUUGCUCUGAAGUAGCUGUGCAAAUAGCAUUACAGCAUUGCAUGUUUAUUGUCUGCUAAAGAUUUCAGUAUCUUAUAUACUCUAUUUCAAAGAAAUAAAGCUUCCCCCCCCCCACCCCCAAUCUAACUGCCAGUCCUGAAAAUUCACCAGGGACUCAAGAAAAGUGGAUUUUUUUUUCCUGGCUUCUGCAUGGUUACUAAGAAUACAGAGGCUGCAGGGCAAUUUCUGCUCUGGCUUUCAUCUGUAUAACCCCUACUAUUUUGAAAACUUGCCUUCACUUUCACAAAUGAAUUAUUUGAGGUAUAGGGGACCUGCAAGGCAGGUCCAGGUGGUGGUACCCACUCCCAGAGCUACAAGGUACUGAAGCUCCUCUCUGACUCAGAGGUCUGCAAAUCAUCUCCGAACACCUGUAUCUCCAGUAUAGAUCAACUAAGAGACAAUUCUUUUCUUCUCACUUUCCAGGAUGUAAGUAUUGCUCAUUGGAAACAUGUUUGGGUUGCUUUUCUCUGUUUUCUUUAAAUGAAAGAGGCAUCUCCACCAGCCAUAUGGAAUGGCUCCUGCUCUGCAAAGCGUGUAUCUGGUGGGGAGUGCAUCCAUUCAACCUUUCACAAUACAGAUCUUAAUUCAGCAGGGAAGUGAGCUGACAGGUGCCUUUGCAGCAGAUUUAAAUCGGAGGCAAAAACUGGAGCAAUAUAAAGCAGUCUGAGCCAGCCAGCCAAGUCGUGCUGACCUUCUGCCAGUACUACCGCAGCCCCAAGC